rfam:Triticum aestivum genome assembly, contig: Triticum_aestivum_CS42_TGACv1_scaffold_515952_6BS
UCCGAAAAUAUUUGUCAUCAAAAUGGAUAAAAAGAGAUAUAUCUAGAACUAAAAUACGUCUAGAUACAUUCUCUUUUAUUCAUUUUGAUGACAAGUAUUUCCGGA